CUGCCUACGGGGGGCAGCAGUCGGGAAUAUUGCGCAAUGGAGGAAACUCUGACGCAGUGACGCCGCGUAUAGGAAGAAGGUUUUCGGAUUGUAAACUAUUGUCGUUAGGGAGGAUAAAAGACUGUACCUAAGGAGGAAGCCCCGGCUAACUAUGUGCCAGCAGCCGCGGUAAUACGUAGGUGGCAAGCGUUGUCCGGAUUUACUGGGUGUAAAGGGCGUGCAGCCGGGAAGACAAGUCAGAUGUGAAAUCCCGCGGCUCAACCGCGGAACUGCAUUUGAAACUGUUUUUCUUGAGUACCGGAGAG
rnacentral:rRNA from 1 species